rnacentral:rRNA from 1 species
GACGAACGCUGGCGGCGUGCUUAACACAUGCAAGUCGAACGGAAAGGCGCUGCUUUUGUGGGGUGCUCGUGUGGCGAACGGGUGAGUAAAACGUGAGUAUCCUGCCCUUGAAUUUGGGAUAACUUUAGGAAACUGGGGCUAAUACCGGAUAUGAUCUCCUGAUGCAUGGUGGGGGAUGGAAAAUUUCGGCGGUUGGGGAUGGAUUGGAGGGUUAUCAGCUAGUUGGUGGGGUAGUGGUGUACCAAGGCUUUGACGGGUAGCAGGCCUUGGAGGGUGACCGGCCACAAGGGUACUACGGUAGGCACCAGUAUGCAACGGGAGGCAGCGGGGGGGAACAUUGCGCAGUGGGCCGAAGCCUGAGGCAAAAACGCUGCGUUCGGGAUGACCUCUUUCUAGUGAUAAACAGCUUUCGACUUUGACGAGGCGGGAGUGACGGUAACUAGUAAAAAAGCACCGGCUAACUACGUG